UACGAAGGGGGCUAGCGUUGCUCGGAAUCACUGGGCGUAAAGGGUGCGUAGGCGGGUCUUUAAGUCAGGGGUGAAAUCCUGGAGCUCAACUCCAGAACUGCCUUUGAUACUGAAGAUCUUGAGUUCGGGAGAGGUGAGUGGAACUGCGAGUGUAGAGGUGAAAUUCGUAGAUAUUCGCAAGAACACCAGUGGGCGAAGGCGGCUCACUGGCCCGAUACUGACGCUGAGGCACGAAAGCGUGGGGAGCAAACAGGG
rnacentral:rRNA from 1 species